CUGCGUGGUACCUACGAUAGCUAGGUCUCAGCUAUGUCCAGUAAUCUUACAGUGAUCAAUAUGUCCCAGAUAUUUUCUAUAAGCUCACCCAACGCCUAUAGAAUAUCUGUUAGUUCAGGUGCUGACUGCUCUUCCCGUAGAACCUCAGUUUACUUUCUCCAGCCAAAGUCAGGGAGAACCUUUCCCACCAGAGAACUGCUCAAGUAUGGGAGAAGGUCAGGUAAAAACAUUACGAGCAGUUUUAAUACUGCAAAGGUAUCCCACAUGUGGUUGAAGUUAUAAAAACCCAGAGAAUAUGGUCCAACAUUUUAACUGUUUAGUGCUGAUUGGUGAGGAGAUACAGAGAGGUUUCCAUCAAAGCCAGUCACCGGUGGUCUACCGCCAUAUAUAAGACCUCUGCCAUCUGUUUAGCCUGUCUGUGAGUUUUGUCUUAAGCCUCUUUUUCGGGCACAGCUGACUGUAACAACAUGGGCAGCCGCUUGUGGAUAAAUAUUUUGAAACACCUGGAAAGGUGUUGAGAGCACAGUACUUUGACUGUUUACAUCACAAAGUAUCCAACCAUUGCUAUCCACUGUUGCUAUCUAAAUUAUAUUGUGAUACAGGACGUGUGUUCAAAAAGAGCAGCAAAAAUGGACAAGAACAUCUCGCAACAAGCCAUAUCUGAGUUGCUUGGAGCAUUGUUAUAAAUUGUGGGCCUAUUUGCUAUAACCAUAUACUUGCAGAGGUGUUUAGUUUCAUAAUAAAGGUAUUUUUCAACUGUUGUUUGCUAUGUGAGGUAAAAAUUGUACUUAGCUCUGUACUUUGGUGCAAUUCAUGUAACUGUGUUUUUUUCUUUUCACUUGUGUGCAGGAUUUUCACACUUUAGUGAGAUACUUAAACCAGUUCCCUCCUGGUGAAUUCCUACCUGCUAUGUCCAAUUUUCAUCUCCUAGUUUUUCUGGCAACUUCCAACAUCCUUCCUUUAAAGGUAAUGUUCAUUUGUUGGCUUCAAGCCUGUGAUGAGAUCACAGCUAAUGAACUGCAAAGAGAUGCUUUGUAGCCAUAAUCUGGUUUCGGCGUCAAAUCAAUAAACAGCAAAGAGAAGCUUUUAAUUCUUUCUUGAAUAAACCCAGGGCCAGGUUGUAAGUGUGAAAUCUGAUUUCAGAUCUGAAAGUUUUUGAAGAAAAUUCAGUCGAAUUUCUUUUUGUCUAGAAUAUGACUAUUUGACGCUGUAAAAAGAACACAGAAAAUUAUUCCAAAAAUGCUUUUGAACAAAGGAAAAAAGAAAUACAGAUUGCAAUUUAACCUUGGGUUAGUGCUAAUCAGCUCUUGAACAACUGGGCCCAGAACCAUAGCAACUGCUAAGGCAAGGGGAAGAUACAAAGGCAACAUAAUAAGCCAGUAUGAACUGGAGUGAUGAACAAAGUGACAAGCUCUAAGCAGGAGGAGGAUGUGGCUGUAAACUUGAUCAGAGGAUUCUGACCACUCACAAUGUAGCAUAACCCUUUACACCCUAACAUCAGUAUGCAUAUUCUCCAUACUGUUCUGUAAACAUUUCCUAAGAUGCUGACAUGGAGAAUUUGUCCAACAAUCAAGAGCUUCUUAAGUAGGUGAUCAGCUCCUUUAUUCUCCUGACCUUAAUGUUUGAUUCAGGCGUGAUAUGGUAAGGAGAAAUUAGAUGCCAGUCACUCUCAGAGGUUCAAGGGUAAAAAAGCCUGAAUCAAUCUGUAGCUUGCACAACGGAGGGAAAAAUCAGCCAGGCUGGAUUCAAUUACUUCUUCUUGUACUAAAUUUAUGUAGAGGUUUUCAUGUCUCACUUCUGUUGAUUAUUUGUGUUGUGGCAGGAUCACUUAGGAGAUCUGUGUACGGCAAUCAGAAACAAAGAUGUUGAAUUGGCUUGGCGCUGGAGUAAAAGUGAACAGUGGUGCAAAGUGAUACAACUUAUGCAAGCUGCAAAGGCCCCCUCACCAGAGCCACAAGGAUCAGGGGAGGUGGACAUGGUUGAUACGUCCCAUUCCCCCAGUGGUGCAGGCUGGUCGUGCAAGCACUGUACGUUUAUGAACCAACACAGACACGAGAACUGUGAUAUGUGUGGCUUGCCUCAACACUGAGAAAACUGAUUAAAAGUUUGUUGGAAAUCAUUAUUGCUAAAAGUCAAGAUGAAACUGCAGGACAGACAACAAGACACAGAAUUCAGAUAAUUGUCUAGUUCGGCUCCGCUGAACAUAUUUUGGCUUUUUGAGAAGUUCCGCUAAGAACGUUUCUAUUUUAUCGCCAGCGGAAUUGUUAACGACACCAUUGAAAAUACAUCUCUACUUCUCUACACCACAUUUAACUGAAAAAUAAUUUCUGAUACCAGCAGGCGAAACAGCGCGUGCUGAAACCAAUGAAGAUAUUUCAGACGUUGAUCUACUGGUGUGGUGCUUUAUACAGUGAAUGAAAGGGUGUGACAGAGAUGUUUUGUGGAACCAAAUAAAGCAGUCAUUGUUUCUGAGAUUUACAAGCUGUACUCACAAUUUAGAACAUGCUUUACGAUAGAGCAUUUAAAGAUUAUCAAGUCCUUUGAAUAGUAAGGAUGAAGGUGUGGUCUUUCCUAUUUUAUCGUUUUUUGCUUCUUCAUAAAAAAACCCACGAAAUCGA